GAGACAGAGCAUGUGGUAUCCAGCCAGUCAGAGUGUCAGGUGAGAGCAGGAACACCAGCUCGUGAGAGUCCACAAAACAAUGCCUUCAAGUGCCAAGAAACAGUGCAACUUCAACCAAGAAUAGACCAGAGGACUGCCAUUUGGCCAAAGGAUGCUUUUGAAACUCGGCAGGACUUAAAUGAGGGGGUGAACUAUAUAGAUUGACCCACAUUCUUUCACGCAGUUUCUGUUGUGGCCAAAAUUUGGGAAACCAGAAAAGACCUUGGGGAAACUUGAAGGAGGUGCAGUAUGAAUGGGACGGAGACCAUCAAGGAGGGUGGAUGUGUUCACACUCAUGGAUUGAAAUGUCCUGUAUCAUUCCCAGCAUUUCUCAACUUAUUGAACACCAAACUUUUUUAUGGAAGAACCACCUAAUAACAUUUCUUUAGGCGACAGAGUCCCUAUGGAACACAAAUGGGAAAUACUGCUAUAAUAUUUUUAAUGGGGAUAGAAAAUAUAUACAGAAAAGUGCACAGGUCAUAGGUAUACAGCUGAAUGAAUUCUUACAAAGUGUGCAACCAGCACAUAAAUCAAGAAACAAAAUAUUACCAGCAUCCCAGAUGCCUCUCUGUAAUUCCUUCCAGUCACUACUCUCCUAUGAAGAUAGCUAGUAUUUUUUAGUGUUUUAUUCAUGGAUUACAUAUGCUCUUUUGUGUCUGGAUUCAUUUGCUCCAUAUUAUAUUCAUGAUUGGUAUAUAGUCAUAGUUUUG
rnacentral:sRNA from 1 species